rnacentral:misc_RNA from 1 species
GUGAAGAACGUAGCGAAAUGCGAUAAGUAAUGUGAAUUGCAGAAUUCAGUGAAUCAUCGAGUCUUUGAACGCACAUUGCGCCCCCUGGUAUUCCGGGGGGCAUGCCUGUCCGAGCGUCAUUGCUGCCCUCAAGCACGGCUUGUGUGUUGGGCCUCCGUCCUCCUCCCGGGGGACGGGCCCGAAAGGCAGCGGCGGCACCGCGUCCGGUCCUCGAGCGUAUGGGGCUUCGUCACCCGCUCUUGUAGGCCCGGCCGGCGCUUGCCGACACAUCAAUCUUUUUUCCAGGUUGACCUCGGAUCAGGUAGGGAUACCCGCUGAACUUAAGCAUAUCAAUAAGCGGAGGA